CCUACGGGAGGCAGCAGUGAGGAAUAUUGGUCAAUGGGCGGAAGCCUGAACCAGCCAAGUAGCGUGCAGGAUGACGGCCCUACGGGUUGUAAACUGCUUUUAUACGGGAAUAACGCGCCUUACGUGUAGGGCUUUGCAUGUACCGUAUGAAUAAGGACCGGCUAAUGCUGUGCCAGCAGCCGCGGUAAUACGGAAGGUCCGGGCGUUAUCCGGAUUUAUUGGGUUUAAAGGGAGCGUAGGCCGCAUGUCAAGCGUGCUGUGAAAUGUCCGGGCUCAACCCGGGCCGUGCAGCGGGAACUGGCGGGCUUGAGUCCGCGGAAAGCAGGCGGAAUUCGUCGUGUAGCGGUGGAAUGCUUAGAUAUGACGAAGAACCCCGAUUGCGAAGGCAGCUUGCUGCAGCGGAACUGACGCUGAGGCUCGAAAGCGCGGGUAUCGAACAGGAUUAGAUACCCCUGUAGUC
rnacentral:rRNA from 1 species